UUAUAUUCAUCAUUAUUCUAUCCAAUUUGUAUGGUUCAUAUUGUUUAAACUUGCCUAUAUAAGGGAGAAACUUCCAGGGCAUAAAUUGAAUCAUAAUAUUUUCUCACACAACAACAGUAACAUAGAGUGAGAAGCAAGAGUAAGAAACAAGAGUGUAGGGUUCAUAUAAAAAAGACACUUUCAAAAUAUUGUAUUGCCAUCAAGUUUUCUUCUGAAUAUCAAUAAAAAGAAAAUUGAUCAACUUGUCAACUUCUUGGCCUUUCUCUUCUCCAAGAAGAAGAAAAAUGCGAGAGAGAGCACGGAGAAACCGGAAAACACAGAGGCGGCGACGUCGAUGGAGGUGCUACGACCACUGAUUCCUUUGAUGUUUAAAUCUAAACCAUUGGUUUGUCCGUAGGCAAUUUCUCUAUUAUCAGCGUUACGAACGUAAACCCUGACAAAAUAAUGUGCCGUAGGAAUAUUUUUUUUAACAGUGUAAGUAACUGAAUCAGUUGAUGAAUUGUAGUCUUUCUUAACCAUCGAAAAUUGGCAAGUUUUGUCCCU